UGAGGGUAGAGCAAGAACAAAGGGUAACAGAAGAUGCUAAAAUUCUAACAAAUGCUGAAGAACUAGAGGAGAGCUCCGAUGAUUUAGAGGAAGACAUGCUAGAAAUAGGAGAGAAAAGUCCGCGUCACAUUGAUCAGCUCUUUUCCUGAAGCAGGUAACGUACACAUUGAUCAGUACACAUUCAACACACUAGAGUAUAAGUUCACCAGGCUCAUUUUUUCUUAUUCCUUGAAAUUGAAUUUUGGUGUUUCUUUUGCAGCAGGAAAUUUAAAUGUCCAACCUUGAUUUCCUUGAAGAAAAUGAUGAUGAAGUGGACCUAACAUGAUGUACACUUCAUUCAAUUUUCUUGUGUUAGUUAUUAAAUAUCGUACGUACUAUGAUUUUUGGGAGAUCAAGACAUAAUAACAAAUUUUGUACUUAUCGUGAUUUGAGAAUUAUCUAUUUA
rnacentral:lncRNA from 1 species